rnacentral:snRNA from 1 species
GGAUGUGAGGGCGAUCUGGCUGCGACAUCUGUCAUCCCAUUGAUCGCCAGGGUUGAUUCGGCUGAUCUGGCUGGCUAGGCGGGUGUCCCCUUCCUCCCUCACCGCUCCAUGUGCGUCCCUCCCGAAGCUGCGCGCUCGGUCGAAGAGGACGACCAUCCCCGAUAGAGGAGGACCGUUCUUCGGUCAAGGGUAUGCGAGUAGCUGCGCUCCCCUGCUAGAACCUCCAAACAAGCUCUCAAGGUCCAUUUGUAGGAGAACGUAGGGUAGUCAAGCUUCCAAGACUCCAGACACAUCCAAAUGAGGCGCUGCACGUGGCAGUCUGCCUUUCUUU